UACGUAGGAGACGAGCGUUAUCCGGAUUUACUGGGCGUAAAGCGCGGGUCGGUGGGGUCUUAAGUCAUGCGUGAAAGCUCUCGGCUUAACCGGGAGAGGUCGUGUGAAACUGGGGCUCUCAGAGGUAGGUAGAGGAUGGCGGAAUUCCCGGUGUAGCAGUGAAAUGCGUAGAGAUCGGGAGGAACAUCUGUGGCGAAGGCGGCUCACUGGAUCUCUUCUGACGCUGAGGCACGAAAGCUAGGGUAGCGAACGGG
rnacentral:rRNA from 1 species